GGAGUUAGUGGCGGACGGGUGAGUAACACGUGGGAACGUGCCUUUAGGUUCGGAAUAGCUCCGGGAAACUGGGUCUAAUACCGAAUGUGCCCUUCGGGGGAAAGAUUUAUCUCCUUUAGAGGCGCCCGCGUCUGAUUAGCUAGUUGGUAGUGUAAUGGACUACCAAGGCUACGAUCAGUAGCUGGUCUGAGAGGAUGACCAGCCACAUUGGGACUGAGACACGGCCCAAACUCCUACGGGAGGCAGCAG
rnacentral:rRNA from 1 species